rnacentral:tRNA from 1 species
GAAGUUUAGGAUAAAAAGUCCAAGAGCCUUCAAAGCCCUAAGUAGACCAAAAAGUCUAACUUCUG